GGAGAGGAGAGGUUCAAGUGCAGGUCCUUCUCUGCCUCUGUGUCUAUGACACAGCCUGCUGAGUUCCAUUGGCCACAUGACAAUGAGACAGGGAAGACAGGCUGCUUCAUGGAUCUGACAGUGGCUUCAGAGUCCACAGGAUCCCAGCCUUGCCAAUCACUAGCUAAGUGUCCCUGAGCCAGCGGCUUUAGCAUUCUGAGUCUCUAUAACAUUCUCUCUGUUUCACUUUGCAGCACCAUCUUUACCACAGCAGUCAGAGCAAACGAGGACAGAAACUGGUCCUAGAGGGCACGGCUGUGACUGACUGGCCAUGUUGUAUGGGGUAAUGGGCAAUUCUGACAGCCCGAGUCCAGUAGAGGCCACCUUGGAACCCCGGAGACCCACUGAACAUCAGCUCAUGAGGGACGGUGCCGUGCAGCAAACAGGCCAGCCCCAGGGGGGAGAGAGAGAGA